UUCAGCAGUAUUGUGCACGCUUCUAACAAUCUGGGUCCAAACUCUUGUGCACCUUUGAAAGAAGGGGGGAAACCUUCCCCUUCUUAUUUUCUUACUCCGCUUCUAUAAUGUCGAACGCGAUCUUGUGCCUUUUCCUUUAAGGAGGGCCUGACUUACUGUUAAUACAACUUUUAACAACGGAUCACUUGGCGCUCGCAUCGAUGAAGAACACCGCGAAAUGCGAUAAGAAAUGUGAAUUGCGGAAUUCUUUGAAUCAUCAAAUCUUUGAACGCCCCUUGCGCUCCCCGGUAUUCCUCGGAGCACACCUGUUCUAGUGUCGUGAAAUUCUCAAGCUUAUAAAUUGUUUUUCAUCUUCUGCUUGGUUGUUGGGCUUUGCCGCGCCCCUCUUUUUUGAGGGAACGGCUGGCCUUAAAAGCAUUAUCUGACUCUCGUGUAGGAUUGGUUCUUCUCCGCGUCAUAAUAAUUCUGACGACCGAGGACAUCUUUUUUGAUGGCCAAUUCUUGCUUGGGUGGCUUCAAACUAUGGUUGACAAAUCACUAUUUCUGUUCUACUAUUAGGUUUGACCUCCACUCAGGUGGGACUACCCGCUGAUCUUCUUCAUAUUUUAAUCGGAGCAACCACUUCUUGUUUUUAUG
rnacentral:rRNA from 1 species